rnacentral:rRNA from 1 species
UAAGGAAUAUUGGUCAAUGGACGAAAGUCUGAACCAGCCAUGCCGCGUGGAGGAUGAAGGUCCUCUGGAUUGUAAACUUCUUUUAUCUGGGACGAAAAAAGGUCUUUCUAGAUCGUCUGACGGUACCAGAUGAAUAAGCACCGGCUAACUCCGUGCCAGCAGCCGCGGUAAUACGGAGGGUGCAAGCGUUAUCCGGAUUCACUGGGUUUAAAGGGUGCGUAGGUGGGUUGGUAAGUCAGUGGUGAAAUCUUCGAGCUUAACUCGGAAACUGCCAUUGAUACUAUCAGUCUUGAAUAUUGUGGAGGUUAGCGGAAUAUGUCAUGUAGCGGUGAAAUGCUUAGAUAUGACAUAGAACACCAAGUUGCGAAGGCAGCUGGCUACACAUAUAUUGACACUGAGGCACGAAAGCGUGGGGAUCAAACAGGAUUAGAUACCCUGGUAGUCCACGCCUAAACGUAUGGAUACUCGACAUACGCGAUACACUGUGUGUGUCUG